rnacentral:rRNA from 1 species
AAAUUGAAGAGUUUGAUCAUGGCUCAGAUUGAACGCUAGCGGCAAGCUUAACACAUGCAAGUCGAGCGGCAUCGGAAAACAAUUUUUGUUUUGUCGGCAAGCGGCGAACGGGUGAGUAAUAUCUGGGAAACUACUCAAUGGAAGGGAAUAACUAUUAGAAAUGAUAGCUAAUGCCAUAUAAUGUCUAAUAAAAGACCAAAGGGGUAUUGAUAUUUAUCAUGCCAUUGAAUGUGCUCAGACGAGAUUAGCUAGUAAGUGAGGUAAAGGCUCACUUAGGCAACAAUCUCUAGUUGGUCUGAGAGGAUGACCAGCCACACUGGAACUGAGAUACGGUCCAGACUCUUAAGGGAGGCAGCAGUGGGGAAUAUUGCACAAUGGGCGAAAGCCUGAUGCAGCUAUGCCGCGUGUGUGAUGAAUGCCUUAGGGUUGUAAAACACUUUCAGUAGGAAAGAAAAACAUUAACUUAAUAUGUUAAUAAUUGACGUUACCUUCAAAAGAAGCACCGGCUAACUCCGUGCCAGCAGCCGCGGUAAUACGGGGGGUGCAAGCGUUAAUCGGAAUUACUGGGCGUAAAGAGCGCGUAGGCGGUAUAUUAAGUCAGAUGUGAAAUCCCUAAGCUCAACUUAGGAACUGCAUUUGAAACUAAUAAACUAGAGUUUUGUAGAGGGGGGUAGAAUUCCAGGUGUAGCGGUGAAAUGUGCAGAUAUCUGGAGGAAUACCAGUGGCGAAGGCGACCCCCUGGGCAAAAACUGACGCUGAGGUGCGAAAGCGUGGGUAGCAAACAGGAUUAGAUACCCUGGUAGUCCAUGCCGUAAACAAUGUCGAUUUGAAAGUUGUAUCCUUGAGAUAUAGCUUUCGUAGCUAACGCGUUAAAUCGACCGCCUGGGGAGUACGACCGCAAGGUUAAAACUCAAAUGAAUUGACGGGGGCCCGCACAAGCGGUGGAGCAUGUGGUUUAAUUCGAUGCAACGCGAAAAACCUUACCUACUCUUGACAUCCAAAAAAAAAAUUUCAGAAAUGAAAUUGAUCUUAUAAGAAUUUUGUGACAGGUGCUGCAUGGCUGUCGUCAGCUCGUGUUGUGAAAUGUUGGGUUAAGUCCCGCAACGAGCGCAACCCUUAUCCUUUGUUGCCAGCGUGAAAGACGGGAACUCAAAGGAGCCUGCCAGUGAUAAACUGGAGGAAGGUGAGGACGACGUCAAGUCAUCAUGGCCCUUAUGAGUAGGGCUACACACGUGCUACAAUGGUGUAUACAAAGAGUAGCUAAUUCGCGAGAACAAGCAAAUCUCAAAAAAUACAUCUCAGUUCGGAUUGGAGUCUGCAACUCGACUCCAUGAAGUCGGAAUCGCUAGUAAUCGUAGAUCAGCAUGCUACGGUGAAUACGUUCCCGGGCCUUGUACACACCGCCCGUCACACCAUGGAAGUGAGCUGUAAAAGAAGUAAUUAGCUUAAUCUAAGGAAGGGCAAUUACCACUUUAUGGUUCAUAACUGGGGUGAAGUCGUAACAAGGUAACCGUAGGGGAACCUGCGGUUGGAUUACCUCCUUA